AUGAAGUAUUUUGCAUUAGUCGAGUCCAAGCAAUUAACACUUGCAAAUGGUGUAGUGUAUAAGCUGUGUACUAAUGUGCAGGAGGUUUUUGUACAGCCGCUGAAUGGGUUUGUAUCACUGUGGAGAACUUUUGGUGGAGGCACAAGACUCUCAGUUGGAACUAACGCUCAGCCGACUCUAACGGUCCUGUCACCCUCCAGAGAUGAGUUGAAUCAGGGUAAAGCUACAGUCAUGUGUGUGGCCAGUAAGGGAUUCCCCUCUGACUGGAAGUUGAGCUGGAAGGUGGAUGGUAACAGCAGGAGCUCUGGUGUGAAUCUGAGUCCAGGUGUCCUGCAGAAGGAUGGACUGUACAGCUGGAGCAGCAGUCUGAGUCUCACUAACAGUGAAUGGAGCUCAGCAAAAACCAUCAGCUGUGAGGCCACACAGAGCUCUCAGAAUCCAGUCUCCAAAAUCCUCAACACACAGGAGUGUGAUAUACAAUGAGAGUAUCCACACGCGCAUGUGCACGCACAAACAUACAGAUGCUUUAGUAAAAGUAACACAAUUAUAUAUUAGUUUGCUUAUCUAUGAUUCAUAAAAAAGACUAAAUGUAUGUUUCUUAAUGCUUCUAGUGCUAUACACACAUAACUGCAAACCAUUUGUAUGUACUUUGUGACAAAUAAAUGAUUUGUGAAUCA